GGUGCUGUGGUCGAGGGGUUAAGACACAUCGUUGUGGUUAUAUCUUCAGAUAUCAGCAUUCCCGAUGUAGCCCCGGUUCGAGUCCGGGCAGCGCCA
rnacentral:tRNA from 1 species